rnacentral:rRNA from 1 species
GAUCAUGGCUCAGGAUGAACGCAAGCGACAGGCUUAACACAUGCAAGUCGAGGGGCAGCACAGGGUAGCAAUACUUGGGUGGCGACCGGCGCACGGGUGAGUAACGCGUAUGCAACUUACCUAUCAGAGGGGGAUAGCCCGGCGAAAGUCGGAUUAAUACCCCAUGAAACAGUGGUCCCGCAUGGGAAUAUUUGUUAAAGAUUCAUCGCUGAUAGAUAGGCAUGCGUUCCA